rnacentral:tRNA from 2 species
GGGAUUAUAGCUCAGUUGGUUAGAGCACCACGUUGACAUCGUGGGGGUCAUAGGUUCGAGUCCUACUAAUCCCA